rnacentral:rRNA from 1 species
CUCCGGUUGAUCCUGCCGGACCUGACUGCUAUCGGAUUGGUACUAAGCCAUGCGAGUCGUUGUAGCAAUACAAGGCGGACGGCUCAGUAACACGUAGUCAACCUAACCUAUGGACGUGGAUAACCUCGGGAAACUGAGAAUAAACCGCGAUAGAUCAUUAUGCCUGGAAUGGCUUAUGGUUCAAACAAUUUAUUGCCGUAGGAUGGGACUGCGGCCUAUCAGCUUGUUGGUGAGGUAAUGGCCCACCAGGGCUAUAACAGGUACGGGCUCUGAGAGGAGAAGCCCGGAGAUGGGUACUGAGACACGGACCCAGGCCCUAUGGGGCGCAGCAGGCGAGAAACCUUAGCAAUGUGCGAAAGCACGACUAGGUUAAUCCGAGUGAUUUCUGUUGAAGAAAUCUUUUGUCAGUCGUAAAACCACAGACGAAUAAGGGGUGGGCAAGUCUGGUGUCAGCCGCCGCGGUAAUACCAGCACCUCGAGUGGUCAGGAGGUUUAUUGGGCCUAAAGCAUCCGUAGCCGGCUACGCAAGUCUCCGGUUAAAUCCAGCUGCUCAACAGAUGGGCUGCCGGAGAUACUACAUAGCUAGGGAGCGGGAGAGGUAGACGGUAUUCUGUGGGUAGGGGUAAAAUCCACUGAUCCAUAGAGGACCACCAGUGGCGAAGGCGGUCUACCAGAACGCGUUCGACGGUGAGGGAUGAAAGCUGGGGGAGCAAACCGGAUUAGAUACCCGGGUAGUCCCAGCUGUAAACGAUGCAAACUCGGUGAUGCAUUGGCUUAUGGCCAAUGCAGUGCCGCAGGGAAGCCGUUAAGUUUGCCGCCUGGGAAGUACGGACGCAAGUCUGAAACUUAAAGGAUUGGCGGGGGAGCA